CCCCCCCCACCCAUCCCACCGCCACCUCCCCCACCUCCCGGCGGUUACCAGCUCCUCCUCCUGACAUGCCGCUCCGCAGCUCCUCCAUCGACCCCGCUGCUCCAAUUGCUUCGCGAGGCCGGGAGCAUUUCGUCGCGUUGCCAUCCCGAGUUCAACGCCGGCGUCGCCAUCCCGAGUUCACCGCCGGCGUCGCCAUCCCGAGUUCACCGCCGGCGUCGCCCAGUUUCUUCAACCUCUGUGAGCGGGCCGCUCUCUCACCCGUCGGCGCGGUGGCCGUCACCUCUGCAGCGGAAGCUCCCCUCCCGCCUAGCGACCUCCUCUCCGAGCUCUCCUUCACUGCCGAGAAAGCCCGUUAUCCCGAGCUAACCUUCACUGGCGGAUAUCCUCGGCGCCGGAAGGGUCCUUCCCCCACUGGAUUCCUCCUCGCCUGGGAAUCCCGUCCUGCCGUCACCUGAUCCUCAUCCGCGUGCGGCGGACGAUCCCCUCCCGCUGGGCGCCCUCCUCCCCGCCGGGGAAUCCUGUCCCGCCGACACCUUCUCCUCCGGUCGGCCACUCUCAAACGUGAGUUUGUCCUCACCUUUCCUUCGUGUGACCAGGCCGCCGCGCAGACCAACCCGCACUUCCUCCGGUCUGUACGACCAAGCUGCGCAGGCCAAGCCACCGCGCGAAUGCUACUUCUUCCUCGCUCCACUCCUCUCUCGCGGUAUGUAUGGCCGAGCCGCCGUCAUUGCCGGACUUGCCAACCUCCCCCCACCGACAAUCCUGCCCCUCUCCAACCUACUUUAUCGACGCUUGUUCAGUAAUACACCCCCACAGUACAUGUGUAGCUGAUUACCCAGUUCUAUGAUAUCAAUGGAAGGCUCCUUACUGUAAAUAAAACAGCUCCUAGAGGCUCUCGUGUGGAAAGACCUCCCAGACAAUUUGGUGGUCCUUUCAGGAUUUAUGUGGGCAAUCUGCCAUGGCAAGUGGAUGACUCUAGAUUGGUGCAGUUGUUCAGCGAGCAUGGCAAAGUGGUUGAUGCCAGAGUUGUCUAUGACCGAGAAUCUGGGCGUUAGCGGGGAUUUGAUUUUGUAACUAUGGCAACGCAGGAUGAAUUGGAUGAUGCUAUUGCUGCCCUUGAUGGACAGGAUGAUGGUACUCAGCGUUUGGAGGUUGUCAGGGCUCGUAAUGCAGAUGGCUCUAUUUUACGCCUAGCAAGUGAGGACUUUGAGAAGCAACCUGGACCAUGUGGAUGUGAAUGCUCAAUCAGGAUUAUCUAACAAAUCUUGAACUGUAUGUGAUGCUGCUAGCAGGAAGGAUAUUAAUUGUAAGAUAUUUUUUCUGCAGAUACUUGGACUGAGGAGAUCCGAAUGGACUCUUCCAACAGGCACUAACUUAACUAUUGUUGUUGGUGGUGAGGUAAUUACUCAUAAUUUUUCCUGGUUCGAUUGAACUAUUUGCACAUUGAUAAGUGCCCAUUUCAUUAUAUUUAUUGUUUUAUCUUUGUGUAAUCUGAAUAAGCUGUUUAAAGUGAUUCCAGAAAAUUUUGAUCAAACGGCCAAGAAAUGGUGGGCCAUUCCUUUGUUUUGUUCUUAUGGUUGAGUAUUCCUGAUACAAUCUGUUACGUGUGUUUAUUGUUUUUCAUCCAAGCAAGUGAUUAUUUGAUACUUCUCCUUGAUCCAUAUAUUUUACUAGAUAUUUGAGAAAUGUCAGAUUCACAUUUAGUUUGAUAUUUUGAUAUUGCAUUGGUUUGGUUAAGCAAUAGAUCGAUUUUUAUGGUUUUUUGUAUUCUCCUUUGAGCCAAAUCCGAUGGCUUGGAUUCCAUGAGACACUUGCAUAGGCUAAGGAAAACCAGGAUGAGAGCAGUGCCACAUCAGCGAUGUACAAGCGGGUGCUCGUGCAGGUGCCCGCUGCUGUACUUCAUUGUGCUCAAGAUGACGGAACCCAUCUAUGAAUACCAGGAGGCUUCAGUCAGUAAUAUUAUUUUUAUCAUUUGUUUACUUCUGUUGCAAAGAAGGAGCAUCUUGUAAACGGUUGAGGAAGUUCAAGCUGAGUUUUAUGAGGCUAUGCCUUGAACUAAUUUGGAAUUGUGUACCGAGAAGGAACUUGAUAUCCUAUUGCCAACUUAUUUUCCUGUGUUCA